AGAGUUUGAUCCUGGCUCAGGAUGAACGCUGGCGGCGUGCUUAACACAUGCAAGUCGAACGGAGUGCUUUCGGGCACUUAGUGGCGGACGGGUGAGUAACGCGUGAGAAUCUGCCCUUAGGUCGGGGACAACAUUGGGAAACUGAUGCUAAUACCGGAUGUGCCGAGAGGUGAAAGCUUUAGUGCCUAGGGAUGAGCUCGCGUCUGAUUAGCUAGUUGGUGGGGUAAGAGCUUACCAAGGCGACGAUCAGUAGCUGGUCUGAGAGGAUGAUCAGCCACACUGGGACUGAGACACGGCCCAGACUCCUACGGGAGGCAGCAGUGGGGAAUUUUCCGCAAUGGGCGAAAGCCUGACGGAGCAACGCCGCGUGAGGGAGGAAGGCCUGUGGGUUGUAAACCUCUUUUCUCUGGGAAGAAGAUCUGACGGUACCAGAGGAAUCAGCAUCGGCUAACUCCGUGCCAGCAGCCGCGGUAAGACGGAGGAUGCAAGCGUUAUCCGGAAUUAUUGGGCGUAAAGCGUCCGCAGGCGGCUCAUAAAGUCUGUUGUUAAAGGUCGGGGCUCAACUCCGAAACGGCAAUGGAAACUAGUGGGCUAGAGUACGGUAGGGGUAGAGGGAAUUCCCAGUGUAGCGGUGAAAUGCGUAGAUAUUGGGAAGAACACCAGUGGCGAAGGCGCUCUACUGGGCCGUAACUGACGCUGAGGGACGAAAGCUAGGGGAGCGAAAGGGAUUAGAUACCCCUGUAGUCCUAGCUGUAAACGAUGGAUACUAGGUGUUGGCUGUAUCGACCCAGUCAGUAUCGAAGCAAACGCGUUAAGUAUCCCGCCUGGGGAGUACGCACGCAAGUGUGAAACUCAAAGGAAUUGACGGGGGCCCGCACAAGCGGUGGAGUAUGUGGUUUAAUUCGAUGCAACGCGAAGAACCUUACCAGGGCUUGACAUGCCGCGAAUCUUCUUGAAAGGGAAGAGUGCCUUCGGGAGCGCGGACACAGGUGGUGCAUGGCUGUCGUCAGCUCGUGUCGUGAGAUGUUGGGUUAAGUCCCGCAACGAGCGCAACCCUCGUUUUUAGUUGCCAUCAAUUAAGUUGGGCACUCUGAAGAGACUGCCGGUGACAAACCGGAGGAAGGUGGGGAUGACGUCAAGUCAGCAUGCCCCUUUACGUUCUGGGCUACACACGUACUACAAUGCUACGGACAAAGGGCAGCCAGACCGCGAGGUUGAGCUAAUCCCAUAAACCGUGGCUCAGUUCAGAUUGCAGGCUGCAACUCGCCUGCAUGAAGGAGGAAUCGCUAGUAAUCGCAGGUCAGCAUACUGCGGUGAAUACGUUCCCGGGCCUUGUACACACCGCCCGUCACACCAUGGGAGUUGGCCAUGCCCGAAGUCGUUACUCCAACCUUUCGAGGAGGAGGAUGCCGAAGGCAGGGCUGAUGACUGGGGUGAAGUCGUAACAAGGUAGCCGUACCGGAAGGUGUGGCUGGAUCACCUCCUUUUAGGGAGACCUUACCCCUUCGAAUCCGAAACAAAGUGUAAUAGGAACGAAGACGGUCAUCUCAAGGUCGGUCAGGAUUGGAAAGGAACUCAGACUAUUGCCUAGGUUAAGAACACGGGCUAUUAGCUCAGGUGGUUAGAGCGCACCCCUGAUAAGGGUGAGGUCCCUGGUUCGAGUCCAGGAUGGCCCACUCGUGGGGGUUUAGCUCAGUUGGUAGAGCGCCUGCUUUGCAAGCAGGAUGUCAGCGGUUCGAGUCCGCUAACCUCCACCAAACCCGAAAACGGGUCAUAGAGCAUAGCACACUAGCUAUAGAGUUAAUGAAGAGAUUAACGAAAUAGAUAGUUUGCUGGGUUUUAGAGACUCAGUGAGAUAGAACCUUGAAAAAUGCAUAGUGAAGAGAAGUCAGGUAGUGAAUACAUGAGCAUUGCUGCGAGGCAAUGCGGCAAGUGGAUUUACAGACACCAAAUGUUAAGUGCUCAAGCUAAGAAGGGCUUWCGGUGGAUACCUAGGCACACAGAGGCGAGG
rnacentral:rRNA from 1 species